UUCUUUUUUCUUUUUUUUGAAAAAACUCUCUUUCAAUAUUUUGUACUUGAACUUUGAAACUUUUUUGCCACAUCCGCAUACACAAAUCGUUUAAUACAUUUAAUCAUGCACGUUCAACAACAACAAACAAAAAUUCACCCAUAGGGAGGAAUAGGGAUAUCUGAACUCCGCAAACGCAAAAGACGAGCACCGUGAAAUGCUUCAAAACAAAAUGUCCCAUGUUGUGUCAUUGACGAUGCAUAUACCAUCUACAGUUCCUGCAAAUUACCGCGACCUUGUUAAGUUUGCCCCAAUGGCAAUUUGUACCGAACUUGCAACGCUUCGCCACAAAACAUUAGGCGUCACCUCAACUGCUCAGGAACCCAACACAGGGUUCUUCCUAUUAUUAUUGCUAUAUAUAUCUCUGUGCGCAAUCGGCCCAAGCAGUUGUUGGCAGAUGAAGGCAGUACUCAUUACAUUAAGUAUGCUGAUAGCUCACACAAUUACUCCCUCCGUUCCGAAUUACUUGUCUUAGAUUUGUCUAGAUACGGAGGUAUCUAGCACUAAAAUGAGUCUAGAUACAUCCGUAUCUAGACAAAUCCAAGACAAGUAAUUUGGAACGGAGGGAGUAGCUUCUAUCAGUUGAUGAAGACCAACCACUGAUUGCAUGUCUACUGCAACACAUCUUGGGGCAUAUAAUCACAGAUGUCACCAACUUCCUACGGUCAGAGGGGAGCUUAAUGGGAGUUCAGCUGCAGGCGCCUCCAGUGUCACCU
rnacentral:lncRNA from 1 species